rnacentral:rRNA from 1 species
UCUGGUUGAUCCUGCCGGUAGUCAUAUGCUUAUCUCAAAGAUUAAGCCAUGCAUGUCUAAUUACACGAUUUUAUAUAUCGAAACCGCUGAUGGCUCAUUAUAACAGCUAUGAUUUGAGAGAUAUUAUCAUUUGUCACAAGGUAACUGUGGUAAUUCUAGAGCUAAUAUUUUAUAGAAUGCCGUGACUCACAAAGUGGCGGAUUUAUUAGAUCAAAACUAACCUGUUCUAAACAGUAUUUUGAUGACUCUGGGUAACUUUACUGAUUGUACAACCUCUGUGUUGACAACGAAUCUCUUGAAAUGGCCGACCUAUCAACUUUCGAUGGUAAGAUCAAAGCUUACCAUGGUUGUAACGGGUAACGGGAAAUCAGUUUUCGAUUCCGGAAACGGAGCCUGAGAAACGGCUACCACAUUCGUGGAAGGCAGUAGGCGCGAAAAUCACCCAUUGCCGGUUCGACGAAGUUGUGAAAUAAAUAACAAUAUGGACCCUAGUGGUUUCAUAAUUGCAAUGAGAUUAUUUUAAAUACUUUUUCAAGUAUCAAUUGGAGGGCAAGUCUGGUGCCAGCAGCCGCGGUAAUUCCAGCUCCAAAAGCGUAUAUUAAAGUUGUUGCAGUUAAAAAGCUCGUAGUUGAAAUUGAGGUAGAUGUAAUUUGAAAUCUUAUGAUUGAUUAUUACUAUACCUUUUCUUCGUGUAUAUUAGUGAGGGACUUAAUUGUUUUUUACUAGUAACCGAAAUGUUUACUUUGAAAAAAUUAGAGUGCUUAAAGCAGGCUUACGCUUGUAUAUUGUUGCAUGGAAUAAUAAAAUAGGACUUUGGUUUUAUUUUGUUGGUUUUCUUAACUAAAGUAAUGAUUAAAAGAGACUGCCGGGGGCAUAUGUAUGCUGGUGCUAGAGGUGAAAUUCUUAGACCAUCAGCAGACAAACUACUGCGAAAGCAUUUGCCAAGAAUGUUUUCAUUAAUCAAGAACGAAAGUCAGAGGAUCGAAGACGAUCAGAUACCGUCCUAGUUCUGACCAUAAACUAUGCCAACUGACAGUUAGUAAAGAUGAAUUAUUUCUUCUUACUAGAAGUCACCGGGAAACCAAAGUCUUUGGGUUCCGGGGGAAGUAUGGUUGCAAAGCUGAAACUUAAAGGAAUUGACGGAAGGGCACCACAAGGAGUGGAGCCUGCGGCUUAAUUUGACUCAACACGGGAAAUCUCACCCGGUCCGGACACUGUGAGGAUUGACAGAUUGAUAGCUCUUUCUUGAUUCGGUGGGUGGUGGUGCAUGGCCGUUCUUAGUUGGUGGAGCGAUUUGUC